CAAGGAAUAGUUUAGCAUAAAAUUGAAGCUUUGGGUGCUUCAGAUGGAAGUUUGAAUCUUCCUUCCUUGA
rnacentral:tRNA from 1 species